AGGCGACUGCUCCCGCGAGGUCAGAGCCGGGCUGUGCCGCUGCCCCCGGGACUAGAAAGGGAAAUCUCCUUGCUAGAGGAGGAAGCCCUAAGAACUCAAGGGAGAUAGGGGUGGCAGGGGCAUUUCCCUGGAUGCCUGGAGCAUGGAGGGUGCGAAAUAAGGAGGCUUUCCUUCCCCAUUGAUGAGCUGAAGUUGAUUCCGCACGGGGAAGGAAAGGGACAGGAAGCAUAAUUGGAUGUGCAAGCCUGUGGUUCUUCAGGAAGUUAACACGUGGAACUAACACUGUUGGAUGCUGCUGAACUCUCAGAGAGAUCCACUCCAUUAACGUUAUCUGGAAGUCAUUGG